AAACCAACAGGGAUUGCCUUAGUAGCGGCGAGUGAAGCGGCAAAAGCUCAAAUUUGAAAUCUGGCUCUUUCAGAGUCCGAGUUGUAAUUUGAAGAAGGUAUCUUUGGGUCUGGCUCUUGUCUAUGUUUCUUGGAACAGAACGUCACAGAGGGUGAGAAUCCCGUGCGAUGAGAUGAUCCAGGCCUAUGUAAAGUUCCUUCGAAGAGUCGAGUUGUUUGGGAAUGCAGCUCUAAGUGGGUGGUAAAUUCCAUCUAAAGCUAAAUAUUGGCGAGAGACCGAUAGCGAACAAGUACAGUGAUGGAAAGAUGAAAAGAACUUUGAAAAGAGAGUGAAAAAGUACGUGAAAUUGUUGAAAGGGAAGGGCUUGAGAUCAGACUUGGUAUUUUGUAUGUUACUUCUUCGGGGGUGGCCUCUACAGUUUAUCGGGCCAGCAUCAGUUUGGGCGGUAGGAGAAUUGCGUUGGAAUGUGGCACGGCUUCGG
rnacentral:rRNA from 1 species